AGGCAGGUCUUGCUGGGGGCAAGCUGGGGAGUUUGAGUUGGGGUGGAAUCAGCCUGAGAACCCGGCUCCUGCCGACCCCCACUCCGCCCCUACCCAGGGAGGUUGACAUUUUUCUUUAACCUCGUAUUAUUUCAUACCAACAACCCAGUGCUUUACGGUGAGACGCAGAGGACCCAGUAAUUCUCAGAUUUAAAGCCAGCUCUUCUUAGGCUCUGGUUUCGUGUCCCCCUGACCCAUUUGAUUUGAUUCCUGCAAUUCUCCCUGUCUGGUGUCUUCCCUCGUUGCUGGUUCUUCCGUAACAGACUACAAGUAUGCUGGCAUCUCUCCCAAAUGAAAGGCAAGACAGAGAACGCCACUGCACCCCACACCUUCCAGCCACCGCAACAUUUCUCUUGCGCUUCAUAGUAAAACUCUGCUACACAGAAGUUUUUGAGUGAUCAAGGCUGGUCCCUGGUCCUGAAGCUAAAUCUUCAGAGAUCACAAAUCCAAUACUGUUCACCGUAAGCUAUCAUCUUAGGGGCUUGCCCGGGAUCUUCAGGAUAAGGUGGCCAGGUGGCUCCUAAGAGAUGUGGCUGUGUCUUGUCUGGCCUGGGAACACCCCGAGGACUGUCCUGCAUAGUCCCAGUACUCAGUGAAUGUUGAAGGAAUAACUGUUUCUUUCAUGAACUAAUAUACAGGAAUAAAAAGCCAC